UAAAUAAUGUAUGUAAUUACUUUAAUCAUGCUUGAUUCCUUCCUUCCCUCUUUUUAACAGUAUGUGAUUGUAAGCAGUGAGAAGAUUCUUUUCUAUGACAGUGAACACGAUAAAGAACAUUCUAACCCAUACAUGGUUUUAGAUAUAGACAAGUUAUUUCAUGUUCAACCAGUUACACAGACAGAUGUAUAUAGAGCGGAUGCUAAAGAAAUUCCAAGGAUAUUCCAGGUAAACAUAGUUUUUGUUUGCUUGUCUGUUUUGUAUUUGUGGUUUUAUGUUGUUUGCUUGUCUGUU
rnacentral:lncRNA from 1 species